GAUGAACGCUGGCGGCGUGCCUAAUACAUGCAAGUCGAGCGAACAGACGAGGAUCUUGCUCCUCUGACGUUAGCGGCGGACGGGUGAGUAACACGUGGAUAACCUCCCUAUAAGACUGGGAUAACUUCGGGAAACCGGAGCUAAUACCGGAUAAUAUAUUGAACCGCAUGGUUCAAUAGUGAAAGACGGUUUUGCUGUCACGGAUAGAUGGAUCUGCGCCGCAUUAGCUAGUUGGUAAUGUAACGGCUUACCAAGGCAACGAUGCGUAGGCGGCGUGAGGGAGUGGUAGGCGACCUUGGAACUGAGACACGGUCAAGGGUCCUACGGGAGGCAGCAGUAGGGAACCUUCCGCAAUGGGCGGAAGCCUGACGGAACAAGGCCGCGUGAGUGAUGAAGAUCUUGGGAUCGUAAAAAUCUGUUACUAGGGAAGAACAACUGUGUAAGUAACUAUGCCCGUCUUGACGGUACCUAAUAAGAAAGCAACGGCUAACUACGUG
rnacentral:rRNA from 1 species